GGGUCAGCAGCUGAGGGUGUAGUGUCUUUUUGGAUAGAGACGUGCUCUUCUUGAACUAUUGCUGGUUGUUGGAAGGGCCUGGUGGGGAGAUGCUACCUGAGGAUGGAUUCUCUUUGGUGUGUUGUGUGGAGUCUGGCCAGCUGUGGUGAUGGGAUGGAGCUGCAGUACCAGCUCAGCACUGGGUCCUACCCUGCUCAGUUGACAUCAGAAAAUUAUACGCAUGAAUCACGGAAGCAAUUGUGCAAUGGAGACCUGUGUUCACUCUCCGGCUCCUGCGGAAAACAGGGACUACAAUAGGAAGCCAGUUCAAGAAUAGCAGCUAUGAAAUCCUCCUCUUUGGCUUUUGGGAAGCAAUUCUUUGGAAUGACAUGGCACACACCAGUGAGGCUGGGUUGCACGUGAAAUCAAAGAAGUAGACAUAUUAACAGCAUUGGCUAUAACAGAACUUCUACACAUCCCUCGGCAGAUAGUGCUCCCAGCAUUUUCCUUGGUAUCAAGCAGGCAUGUUCAGAAGCUUCCUAUAUUCAGGAGUUUACGAGCACAAAACCAUCUGCAGAUAUCUAUAGGUAUGAUGAACAGCCUGCAUGCACCCUUCUAAAGCAGAAACAAGCUGGAGAACUGUCUAAGUUAUGCAGUGCACGCUCAAGAAUCUCAGCUACAAGAUAUCUGUGCUUUAUCGGAGGUUUUCCUCUUAGUCUGUGGGUGUGUAGAAAGAAGAAGCUCCACUUGGGAAGUAAGGUAGCUCUUUGGCAGCUCUUCCUGUGGGUGACUUCCCAAACUUUAGAUUAGAGUUAACAUGGUAACUAAGCACUGGCUUGAAAUGAAAAGUCUAGUCUGGGUCCACACUCCAUCAAAAUCAAAGAGCUAGUGCAAAGAGAUUUUUAACUCCAUCUCUAAUUUUAUCUGCUAAUCUGAAACUCUUGGGUUAUGAAAUGGCAGAAUCAUUAAGUGCCUGCAGGUUUUCAAGCUUCAACCUGUGUUUUCCAGCACCAUGUGGGUUUUAUUUAGUUUUGCAUCAGUUUUCACAAGUGCUGCUUGAACCUUCACUUAAAGUGUUUCUAGAACCAUCACAGAAAGGCUUGAGCCUAGCAGCCAGAGAUCAUAUCAAGUGAGACACAGAAAUCAAAGCUCCCAUGGAAACUUCAAAGCUGAGGCACCUCCUUAUGGAUACCACUUCUUAUUGGACAUUUCCUGGAGUUUCCCUCCAUCAGAGAAUCGUUAAGAUUGGAAAGACUGCUAAGAACCAUUGACCCAUCACCACCAUGCACUAAACCAUGUCACUCAAUGGGACAUCUGCCCUCUUCUUGGGCACCUCCUGGGAUGGUGACCCAACCACCUCCCUGGGUGCCCUGUUCCAACACUUCACCAUCACUCGCAUGCAGGCUGGAGAAUCUGAAGUGAAGACUACAGCCAGGUGAUGCAGUAGAGCCAUUGUAUUUCCCAUAAUUUUGUAUAAAGUUACUCUCUUUGUUUAAACAGAUUCCCUUCUUUUUCUCUCAGCCGUGGUAUUUCAAGCAUGAUCAUCUAGGGUUCAAGUGAGGCAAUAGCUUUUAGGAGCAGAAAGUUUAUCUUAUGUAGGAUCAGCGUAAGACAACAGAUAAGCAUCCAGGCACGCAAGGCCAGACGCACUGAAAGGAAUGGCUUAUUUGAAAAGCUUGUCCUCUCUCUCCAGCUUUGUUAGUUUGUGUGCAGAAAGUACUUCUCCCUGCAAAAAAGCCUUGGCCACUCUUGAAAUGCUACAGAGGAGUUUGGGACAUGGCAGUUUGGUUUCCCUGUCAGGAAGUGCUGCUGGACUGUUUUCCAAGAGCUGGAAUGCCAGCCAUAAACACGAGUUAUAUAGAGGUCUCAUGGACUUGGAUGGGAGCAGAUCUGUGUUUUGCACUGCGGACGCUCAAGGCCAUUCCUUGGCCAUGUUACAGGAGCAAUAUUUAUGCAAGGAUGAAACGCGGCGUUGUCAAAGCAUUUGGACAAAUUGAAUACUUUGUUUUCCCUUGCUAUUAUUUAUAAUAGCUCUCUUUGGAAAAAAAAUAAAAAUAAAAAAAAUUAGUUUUUCGAUGAAGGAAUUUUAAUUGGUUUUCAUAGCAGGACUGAGUGACACUGUGGCCCUUUCUCAAGAGCAUAGGGUCUGGGUUUCUUCAUCCCCAGUGAGAAGGGAAGUAGACUGUUACAAGUUUUAUCAGAGGAAAAACAGCACUAGAGAGAGGUCAGUCCUGAGACCUAGCAUGCUUCACUGCCUUGCUCUAGCUACUUGGACAGUGUCCUUCCCCUCUCUGUGGUACCACAGUCCCUCAUGUGCUUCUUCAGACCCAGUGAUGAAGAUUCUCUUUUGAUGACAGGGUUGAUAAGCUUUAUGGCAUCACCCUGUCAAUGGGAGGCAACUGGUUCUUCAACUGUAGAACCAAGAAGUAAUGAUUAAGACUCUUCAGUAGUCCUGUAUGGCCAGCCCAAGGGAGGUUGGAGGCUGUCAGUGGACUAUUGUGGUCUGAAUGGAGUCAUGGCACUGCUAAGUGCUGUGGUAUCAGAUGUACUAGAAGUUCAAUACAAACUGGAGCUGAGGGCAGCCAAGCACUAUGCUACAACUGAUAGUGCCAACUUGCCUUCUUUGAGAGGGGUACAUCUGGAACUGACUGCUCCAGGGGUGGAAACACAGCCCUGCCUGGCAUUCUUUUGUAGAUAGCACACCAAUGUUCAUAAGGUGUUUAUGGUAACCUGCAGAUAACUUCUUUUUGAGUUGCUAGGGAGUAAAAGAUAUGUGUAUGAUGCUAAGGUGUGAUCCUGUCACUGAAUUCUUCCCACCCUUUUGACUCUGUUCCAUCUUUGAUAAAUCCUCUGUGCUUGAAACCAAACUGCU